UUUCAUUUAUCCAGGGAACCUGUUACACUGUUCUUGUAAUAAAUGGUUGUGUUUACUGACUGAAGUUACAAAAAUGUAUAUGCUGUAUAGAGAAAAUAAAAAUCAGUACUUCUCCUUUUUUAGUCUUUGAUCAACCCACCAACACACAUGAAAUGUAAUAGACCAUUUCAUGUUAGUAGAAGCUCAGGCAGUACAUAAUUGGAAAAGGUAUCUGAAACUAAGUGAGUCACCUUAGUCUCCUUAUGUAGUCAAGAGAAGUAGUAGGCAUCUCCAAAAGGUGCUUCAUAUCACCUGCAUUUAUAGAUCUACUGUAGGAUGAAAUAGACAUUUUAUAAAAGCAGUUUGAAUCUUCAAAAAUAUAUAUAUCUUACUGAUGAUCUGUGGCAGGUGUUUGGCUCAAAGGCUCUUUUAAUGUUCAUUGUGGGAGUCCUGCACAAGACUAGUUUGGAGUAGUUUAAUGCACUGUCCUCAGUCCGCUGCAUAGUGGCUUCACUAAAUGCAAGGUAAGAAUUUAAUUCAAUGCCAAAUUUUGGUUAAAUUGACAUCUAGGAUGAAGUUGAAGAAUCUGUAAGGUAAGCAACUUUCUAGAACUACUGCAGAUAAUAAAGAAAUGCACAAUUCUAGGAGGCACCAAAACCUCGAAAAUUGACCAUAUCACAGUUAUUGUUUAUAAAACCACAUUUAUUUGUCCUGAAUGUGAAAGGGGAAUUGAAAGAGUGAGCUUUCUGUAUUCAUUCCACCCUCAACAGACUGAAUAUAAUCAGGUGUUAAUUUGGAUGUGAGAAAUGUUUGCAGUUCUGUUUCAAAAAGAGUUGUUAAAACUUGAUGGGAGCUAAUGGCAAGUACAGCCAGCAAGUAUUAAUAACCCUAGAGACCUAGGAUAAUCAAGUCAUAAUAGCUGCUUCCAAACGGAUGUUUUUGUCCUGUCUGCAGAGUUCAUUUUUUGUCAUAGACAGGAGGAGAAAAGAGGUUUUGUCAGCCACAGAAAGAGAGAUCAGCCUCCCAGGCAUGACAGUUGCGUCUGCUUCUACCGUCAAGUGUUGCUCCUUCCCUGCUUCUGGUGACAUGUGUGAGAUGAACUGAUGACAAGUAGUAGGUUUGUGGUAAUGAGGAAACACAGCUUUUUUUAAGAGAUCCCAAUUUGCUUUAAUACAGAUGUGUGCUCAAUGUGACCCUGGCAUAUAGAUGAGUGAAGAUAAUCAUACAAAGGAUUAAUUCACAUGGCAGAUAGCAGUGCUAAUUUAGUAAUCUUGGGCAACAGCCUGGAAACACUAAAUGGUAGAAAACAGUUUUUCAAGUGCAAGAUUUUGCUUCAUAUAUAAGUACAAAAGGAGCAAGAAAUUUGAAGCUUCUUUGGUUGCCCUGAGGGUCUGGACCACCUACUGAGAAGUCUGUCACACUGCAAACAUGUAGGAGUAGGAACAAGAAAUUUCUUUAUUGAGCUGGAUCUGAGAGCUUUCUUAUUGCUUGUUGUAUGAAUUUUCUUGAUGCUUCCUGAGGCUUGCUAUUCUCCUGUAAAGAAGAAGAUUCCUUGAAGUCUGGUUCAAAUGUGAAUUAUGGGGUACUUCUGAAGACUAAAUAUGGGAACAUCAUUUUAGAACCCAGAUGAAAAAUCGUCCUAGAUUUUAUUGAGAUGGAUUUUUUUUUUAAACAUAUGUUUACAUUAUGAGCAUACAUAAUGUAAUGGGGAAGAUACCCUUGCUGGUACCUGUAAAAACAUACAUCAUCCCCAGUUCCUUGUGUGUGAGUGGCCUGCAUUCCUCAGUUUCUUCCAGUUUCAGAGGCUACGGAAGUUGUUUCAUUAUGAGGGAGAAGGAUAGGAAAAAGAAUAAUCGUAUCUAGAAACAACAUAUGAACUUUAGUUAGUGGCAUGAACUUCUCAUUGAGUUCCUCAAAUGGUUUGACUGUUGUACUACUUGGUAUAUGAGAGAAUACAAACAAGGCUAAUCUCGUAAUUUAAAGAAACUCAAACAUAAACCUAGGGGAAAUUCGGUGUUGCAAAACAGAUUUUUAUGAGGGAAUUAUGUUAAAGGGAACCUUGUUCAUUGCCAUGCCUGUGCACACAGCGCAUAAGAAACUGUGUAUAUAUACCAGAAAGAGUUGGUCUAUGCAGUGGAAAAUAUUUGGCUGUAACUGCACAAGUGAGGGGUAGUCUUAAAUUAUCUCAGGCUCCUUCUGUGCAGUGGGUUUGUGUGAAAGACCAUGUAGAUGUUCUAGACAAGUUCCAAGCUGAGUUAGAAUAAGUUGCAGAAAGUGUAAGGUGAUGGACUGUUGUAACAUCACACAAAAAACUAUGAUUCUGAACUUGAAUUUCUGAAUAAAGUCAUUUGAUUUGUCUUGCU
ensembl:lncRNA